GGAGCUGAGAAGAGCAGUCUCGGGACUGUGCUUAAUCUUUAACAAAUCGCAAGCUCUAUGAGCAUAGGGGUUGAGACUGUUAGGAAACUGUUUUUUAAUUUCACUAAGAGCUGGGGUCUGCACGUGAAGUGGCCCACCAACUGAGACGCACAUACUAAUGAGAGUUUCACACAGGACUCUCAGAUCCUGUUCCCAUUGGAAGUUCCUCUGUCCAGACCUUCAGCCUCCCUCAUUUCCUGACUGCACAGUAAGCAGUUACAACUCUACAAAGAAUAUCCAGUAACUCACCUUCUCUUGCACACACUGUUUAUUUAUUGGUUUAUUGAUUUUAUUUAUUAAUUUUUGAUCUAUUUUAUCUAUCUAUGCUGUCUUUUGCGGUUUCUUAUGUACUGUUGUGUCGUACUGUAUGUCGUACUGUACUGUAUCUGUCGUUUUGUGUUGACUGUGUUUAUUUUACAUACUCUUGCCGACGCCUCUUGGCCAGGUCAUCAUUGUAAAUGAGAAUUGGUUCUCAACUGAUUUUACCUGGUUAAAUAAAGGUCAAAUAAAAUAAAAAAUUUCAUUUUAUAGCUUCAGGACAAUUCCAAUACAGGAAUUCAAAUACAGGGAAAACGGAAAAAUCCAUAAUCUACAAGUUACAUUACAUUACUGCAUUAGAGCUUGUUUUUUUUUUUUUUAAAGCCAGGAGUUCCAUGUAGCGAUUCUAUGAUAAACGGUCUGUGGCUGGAAUCUGACAGGCUUAUUACCUUCGACCAAUGGAGAGCGUGCAGCUCGCUGAUCACCAGGCAGGAUGCAGCGGAAGAGCUGUGAAGCCUUGCGUGGGAAUGCGACACAUGCCUCGCAGCACAGAUUGCACUCCUGCGCGCCACAUCCCGCAUGUAAGGCGUGCGUGACCGUGAGCCCUGCUGCUUCUGCAGCCGGCGCGCUGUCUCCCCGGGGGCAUGGUCCGCGGGUACGGCAGGGAGCUCAUGGGAGAUGGA